rnacentral:lncRNA from 1 species
GAUACAUUGUCGGCCAGUAAUACCCUUGGCGGAGCAACUUGUGGGAUAAGGAUCUAGCCCCCAGAUGGCUUCCGCAGAUUUCUUCGUGCACCUCCCAUAAGGCGUAGUCAGCUUCCGAAGGCCGGAGAUAUUUUAAAAGGGGCAAAGAGUAUGAUCUCUUGUACAACUUGUCCUCAUAAAGGAUGUAUCGGGAGACUUGAUUUCUGAGCUUCCGAGCUUCUUUUGCAUCAUGAGGGAGAAUCCCG